rnacentral:rRNA from 1 species
GUGCACCAGUCGCGAAACUUUACAAUGUGCGAAAGCACGAUAAGGGAACUCUGAGUGCCUCCUAAGGAGGCUGUUCAGGUGUCUAAAAGCACCUGAAGGAAGGGCUGGGUAAGACCGGUGCCAGCCGCCGCGGUAACACCGGCAGCCCAAGUGGUAGCCACGUUUAUUGGGUCUAAAGCGUCCGUAGCCGGCUGGGUAAGUUCCUUGGGAAAUUUGGCUGCUUAACAGUCAAGCUUUCAGGGAAUACUGCCCGGCUUGGGACCGGGAGAGGUCAGAGGUACUCCAGGGGUAGGGGUGAAAUCCAUUAAUCCUUGGGGGACCACCGGUAGCGAAGGCGUCUGACCAGACCGGGUCCGACGGUGAGGGACGAAGGCUAGGGGCGCGAACCGGAUUAGAUACCCCUGUAGU